CACCAAAUCCCCCAACUACAUCUGACCACACUGCAGCUACCGAUGAUGCAAGUGAGGGUGCUGUGGCUGCCACCCAAACUCCUGAAGUCCAGACUAAAUCUGCCCAAACUGGAACUACUGUAUCCCAUACGACUGAAGUCUGAUUCGACUGCUCCUCUGG